CUGUACAGAUCAGGAAGACCACAGCCAGCCAGGUGUAUGAGAUGCUGCUGACUACGAUGAUGUCAUCGACCCUGACGUGAUGGAUGAUGUCAUGACGUCGCUGAGUGACACCAACUGGGAGGAGGACGUCGCCACGGUGAGGACCCACAGAAACCAGCUCUGUGAUUGGCUAGGAGUACAGAAGCCCCAGCUCGUUGCCAAGGGUCCUGUCCAGUAGGCCUGGGGGAAACUAUUCUCAGCAGGAACUGAAGAACUGUAGCACAGGAUCCUUCAGGAUGGCAUUCUGUGUGACACAUCACAAAGUACAGCUGCACUUCUAAAAGGUCACAGCCUUCAGUGAUGUUCCUAGACCCACACACUUUGUUACAGUACAUUCCAGUUGGUAUGCUAGUAUGGUCAUGGAAUGAAUGGUAGUCUGGGUUCAUCUGGGAUUCAGCAUUCCUCUGUCUGUCUGUCUGUGUCUGUCUGUGUCUGUCUGUGUCUGUCUGUGUCU